rnacentral:lncRNA from 1 species
GACAGAGAACCGCGGAGGUGCUCGGAGACAGAACGUCGCUCCUCUAUACCCCCAGAUCUGAGCUUCCGGAUCAGAGCGCUUCUGUGUGAGAGGAGGACGGCCAAAGCCAUUCUCUCCGCACAGGGACACGGGGCAUAAAGAAACCCAAAACCCAGAACCUGUACUAGGUCCCGGCAGAGGAUCUGAAUGCCUAAAGAGCUUAUGGAGAACCACUGUGACAAGGGGCCUGAUUGGAGGCAACUUCCAUCGGAGUCCUGCUGGCUAGUCAAAAGAAUGAAACCCAAAGCUAAGUUUUGCAAGGUGAUCCUAUUUCAGGACCACUAUCCACAAAAAACGUGGGAUGGGCAUAAAGGGUUUGAGAGCUCCUCCGAAAGCUAAAGUGCCACAGAAGCGAAAUGAAACUGGCGAAGAGGGCUAAAGAGCCCUGUGUGAUGGUGCACGGGGCUUCCAGCAUCUGAGAGACAGCAGGAUCGCCACAAAUUCAAAUUAGCCUAGAACGUGAGUUUGAGGCCAGCCAGCAAAGUGAGACCCUGUUUUAAGAACAGCAAGAGAAGAUUUAUUUUAUUUAAAUGACGACCCUGUAGCCGUCUUCAGACACUCCAGAAGAGGGCAUCAGAUCUCAUUACAGACGGUUGUGAGCCGCCAUGUGGUUGCUUGGAAUUGAACUGAGGACCUCUGGAAGAGCAGUUAAUGAUCUUAACAGCUGAGCCAUCCCUCCAGCCCUACUUCUAUGUCUCUUACUUAAAUAAAUCUGAUGAUAUUGGGAGAAAUAAAGGCUAAGCUAAAAACAUA